rnacentral:rRNA from 1 species
UUAAGCAUAUCAAUAAGCGGAGGAAAAGAAACUAACAAGGAUUCCCUUAGUAACUGCGAGUGAAGAGGGAAAAGCUCAAAUUUAAAAUCUGACAGUGUUUCGCUGUCCGAGUUGUAACCUAGAGAAGUGUAACCUGCGCUGGACCGUGUAUAAGUCUCCUGGAAUGGAGUAUCAUAGAGGGUGAGAAUCCCGUCUUUGACAUGGACCACCAGUGCAUUGUGGUUGUGCUCUCAACGAGUCGAGUUGUUUGGGAAUGCAGCUCUAAAUGGGUGGUAAAUUCCAUCUAAAGCUAAAUAUUGGCGAGAGACCGAUAGCGAACAAGUACCGUGAGGGAAAGAUGAAAAGAACUUUGGAAAGAGAGUUAAACAGUAUGUGAAAUUGUUGAAAGGGAAACGUUUGAAGUCAGUCGCGUUGGUUGGGGAUCAGCCUGACAUUGUUGGGUUUACUUCCUGGUCGACGGGCCAACAUCAGUUUUGACUGCCAGAAAAAGGCCAAAGGAAUGUGGCACCUUUGGGUGUGUUAUAGCCCUUGGUCGUAUAUGGUGGUUGGGACUGAGGAAAGCAGCGUGCCGAAAGGCCGGGUUUCGACCACGUUCACGCUGAGGAUGUUGGCAUAAUGGCUUUAAGCGACCCGUCUUGAAACACGGACCAAGGAGUCUAACAUGCAUGCGAGUGUUUGGGUGGAAAACCCUUACGCGUAAUGAAAGUGAAAGUUGAGAUCCCUGUCGUGGGGAGCAUCGACGCCCGGACCAGAACUUUUGGGACGGAUCUGCGGUAGAGCACGUAUGUUGGGACCCGAAAGAUGGUGAACUAUGCCUGAAUAGGGUGAAGCCAGAGGAAACUCUGGUGGAGGCUCGUAGCGAUUCUGACGUGCAAAUCGAUCGUCAAAUUUGGGUAUAGGGGCGAAAGACUAAUCGAACCAUCUAUUAGCUGGUUCCUGCCGAAGUUUCCCUCAGGA